AGGAUCUUUCGGGGUUGUUAGAUUUUCUUUGAAUUGGGGAGACGAAGGAAAGGGGACAGGUAGCGCCGAGGAUACGAAGCCCACGGAUGAAAAACGUGGCACAGCAGGCCGGCGGGUGAUACAGUAGAUGGCAAGCAUUGUCCGGAAAAUAAAUAAAGGGAAAAGGGAUGUAAGCGGGAAUGGCAAGUCAAGAUGUAAAAAGCACGGCUCCAACCGGGGGGCGGAAUAUUAAACGUGUAGUUCUUAAGGUAUGGCAAAGGAAGCGGAAGUGCCUAGGGUAGCGAUUAAAAGGCGUAGAUAUUAGGAGGAAACAACAAUGGCGAAGGGCGGGCGUUCUGUACAGAAACUGAAGAUUAGGCGUAAAGCGUGGGGAAUAAACAGAAUUAGGAUAGGAUGGUGGUCCACGCUGUAAACGAUGGGAUACUAGGGUUAGGAGGUAUCGACCCCUUUUGUGCCGGAGUGAACGCAAUAAGUAUCCCACCUGGGGAGUACGACGGCAAGGUGAAAGUCGGAGGAAUUGACGGGGCGCGCACAAGCAGUGGAGUAUGUUGUUUAAUUCGAAGCAACGCGAAGAACCUUACCGGGGCUUGGCAUCCCUGGCGACACAAGAGAGUGUGUUUUCCUACGGGACAAGGAGACAGGUGGUGCAUGGUUGUCGUCAGCUCGUGUCGUGAGAUGUUGGGUUAAGUCCCGCAACGAGCGCAACCCCUGUUGUUGGGUGCCAUCAGGUAAAGCUGGGCACUCUAACGAGACUGCCGGUGACAAAUCGGAGGAAGGUGGGGAGGACGUCAAAUCAUCAUGCCCCUUAUGUCCUGGGCGACACACGUACUACAAGGGGUACAACAGAAGGAAGCGAUACCGUAAGGUGGAGCAAAUCCAGAAAAAGUAGUCCCAGUUCGGAUUGAGGGCUGAAACUCGCCCUCAUGAAGUCGGAAUUGCUAGUAAUGGCAGGUCAGCAUACUGCCGUGAAUACGUUCCCGGGCCUUGUACACACCGCCCGUCACACCAUGAGAGUUGGCAACACCCGAAGUCAGUAGUUUAACCUAUGUAAAUGGGGGAGCGCUGCCGAAGGUGGGGCCGAUGAUUGGGGGAAGUCGUAACAAGGUAACC
rnacentral:rRNA from 1 species